rnacentral:rRNA from 1 species
GACGAACGCUGGCGGCGUGCUUAACACAUGCAAGUCGAACGGAAAGGCCCUGCUUUUGUGGGGUGCUCGAGUGGCGAACGGGUGAGUAACACGUGUGUAACCUGCCCUUGACUUUGGUAUAACUUCAGGAAACUGGGGCUAAUACCGGAUAGGAGCUCCUGCUGCAUGGUGGGGGUUGGAAAGUUUCGGCGGUUGGGGAUGGACUCGCGGCUUAUCAGCUUGUUGGUGGGGUAGUGGCUUACCAAGGCUUUGACGGGUACCCGGCCUGAGAGGAUGACCGGCCACCUUGGGACUGAGAUACGGCCCAGACUCCUACGAGAGGCAACAGUGGAAAAUAUUGCACAAUGGGAGGAAGCCUGGUGCAGAAACGCCGCGUGCGGGAUGACGGCCUUCGGGUUGUAAACAGCUUUCGCCUGUGACGAAGCGUGAGUGACGGUAAUGGGUAAAGAAGCACCGGCUAACUACGUG